rnacentral:misc_RNA from 1 species
GAUGAAGAACGUAGCGAAAUGCGAUAAGUAAUGUGAAUUGCAGAAUUCAGUGAAUCAUCGAAUCUUUGAACGCACAUUGCGCCCCCUGGAAUUCCGGGGGGCAUGCCUGUUCGAGCGUCUCAGGGACGAACCCUCGCGCGGGUGUACGCGCGGUCGUGGCUGCGGUGGCGUGCCCGAGGCGGCGGCCACCGCGCUGGAAUCCAUGGGCGGACGCCUGCCGCGUGGCCGAGCGUGAUAUGACGCAUUGGCGCUCGCACGCGGAGAGGCUGCCAGCCCUGGCCCGUCUGUCGGGCGGGGGAGAGCAAGACACGUGAACUCCUCGAAUCAGGUAGGGAUACCCGCUGAACUUAAGCAUAUCAAUAAGCGGAGGA